rnacentral:rRNA from 1 species
CCUACGGGAGGCAGCAGUGAGGAAUAUUGGUCAAUGGCCGUAAGGCUGAACCAGCCAAGUCGCGUGAAGGAAGAAGGAUCUAUGGUUUGUAAACUUCUUUUAUAGGGGAAUAAAGGUAGCCACGCGUGGAUAUUUGCAUGUAUCCUAUGAAUAAGCAUCGGCUAACUCCGUGCCAGCAGCCGCGGUAAUACGGAGGAUGCGAGCGUUAGCCGGAUUGAUUGGGUUUAAAGGGUGCGUAGGUGGUUUUUUAAGUCAGCGGUGAAAGUUUGUGGCUCAACCAUAAAAUUGCCGUUGAAACUGGAAGACGUGAGUGUGUUUGAGGUAGGCGGAAUGCGUGGUGUAGCGGUGAAAUGCAUAGAUAUCACGCAGAACUCCGAUUGCGAAGGCAGCUUACUAAGCCAUAACUGACACUGAAGCACGAAAGCGUGGGGAUCAAACAGGAUUAGAUACCCCUGUAGUC